CAUCAAUUCGUUAAAAAACCGCAAAAAGUGACGAUUCAAAAUGUGACGGUGUUCUGAUGUGCCAUAACGGCAAUAUUCGAUAAAGCGUGACUGAUUCGGCACUAAAAUAACGUACUUUAUUAAUGCACAGGAAGGCACCUAUACAUUGCACCUGCGGAGAACCGUUUUCGGGAUCUCAGCUUAAACAUGUUCCGAUCUAACUCGCAAUUUACACUUUGGGAAUGAAAAAGAGCUGCCGGAUCUUUCUGUGAAGUCACUAGGUUUUCCGGCGAUUCCGAUGGCCGCCCCGGCACGAAAAGUAAGAAUUAUGUAGGUAAAUAAAAAUUCGAGUAUAAAUGGUUUUAUGAUUUGUUUAUUUGAAAUAAGCUUUAUUUUAUCUAAUUAUACACAGUUAAAAUAGGUACUGCAAUUGAAUGAAAAUUCGUGCAUAUAUUUCAACUAGGGGUAAUACUGAGAAUUUGAGAAGUGAGAAGAACAUAGAAAGCUCUGACAUCACCCCUGUCAGGUGCAUUAGUAGAUCUACCUAAAAAUUCCGAGAAUUGCACCUUUGGAUAAAUAUAAAACGUACCUAUUGGCAUGGACCAGAGUCCUCCUGAGCGUUGUAAGGAGUUGUAAAGAGGUAAAAUCUAGAAAAGCGCAUCGAAAGCUGUGGUAGGUUCAUUUAAGGGACACAUUAAACCUUUUUGAAACAAUUAAGAACCUUCUGUGCACUCCUUAGCAGUCGACAAAACCCAUCAAA